UACGUAGGGGGCAAGCGUUGUCCGGAAUCAUUGGGCGUAAAGCGCGUGUAGGCGGUCCGGUAAGUCCGCUGUGAAAGUCGGGGGCUUAACCCUCGGAUGCCGGUGGAUACUGUCGGGCUUGAGUACGGAAGAGGCGAGUGGAAUUCCUGGUGUAGCGGUGAAAUGCGCAGAUAUCUGAAGGAACAUCAGUGGCGAAAGCGACCUCCUGGACCAAUACUGACGCUCAGGUGCGAAAGCGUGGGGAGCAAACAGG
rnacentral:rRNA from 1 species